UACAGAGGUCCCAAGCGUUGUUCGGAUUCACUGGGCGUAAAGGGUGCGUAGGUGGCGAGGUAAGUCGGAUGUGAAAUCUCCGAGCUCAACUCGGAAAUGGCAUUGGAAACUACCUUGCUUGAGGGUCGGAGGGGGGACUGGAAUACUUGGUGUAGCAGUGAAAUGCGUAGAUAUCAAGUGGAACACCAGUGGCGAAGGCGAGUCCCUGGACGACUCCUGACACUGAGGCACGAAAGCUAGGGGAGCAAACAGG
rnacentral:rRNA from 1 species